rnacentral:rRNA from 1 species
ACGGUCCUAAGGUAGCGAAAUUCCUUGUCGGGUAAGUUCCGACCUGCACGAAUGGCAUAAUGAUGGCCAGGCUGUCUCCACCCGAGACUCAGUGAAAUUGAAAUCGCCGUGAAGAUGCGGUGUACCCGCGGCUAGACGGAAAGACCCCGUGAACCUUUACUAUAGCUUGACACUGAACAUUGAAUUUUGAUGUGUAGGAUAGGUGGGAGACUUUGAAGCAGUCACGCCAGUGAUUGUGGAGUCGUCCUUGAAAUACCACCCUUUAACGUUUGAUGUUCUAACGAAGAUUACGAAACGUGGUCUCGGACAGUGUCUGGUGGGUAGUUUGACUGGGGCGGUCUCCUCCCAAAGAGUAACGGAGGAGCACGAAGGUUUGCUAAUGACGGUCGGACAUCGUCAGGUUAGUGCAAUGGUAUAAGCAAGCUUAACUGCGAGACAGACAAGUCGAGCAGGUACGAAAGUAGGUCAUAGUGAUCCGGUGGUUCUGAAUGGAAGGGCCAUCGCUCAACGGAUAAAAGGUACUCCGGGGAUAACAGGCUGAUACCGCCCAAGAGUUCAUAUCGACGGCGGUGUUUGGCACCUCGAUGUCGGCUCAUCACAUCCUGGGGCUGAAGUAGGUCCCAAGGGUAUGGCUGUUCGCCAUUUAAAGUGGUACGCGAGCUGGGUUUAGAACGUCGUGAGACAGUUCGGUCCCUAUCUGCCGUGGGCGUUGGAGAAUUGAUUGGGGCUGCUCCUAGUACGAGAGGACCGGAGUGGACGCACCACUGGUGUUCCGGUUGUGUCGCCAGACGCAUUGCCGGGUAGCUAAGUGCGGAAGAGAUAAGUGCUGAAAGCAUCUAAGCACGAAACUUGCCAAGAGAUGAGUUCUCCCAGAUUACAAAUCUGUAAGGGUUGUUUAAGACUAAGACGUAGAUAGGCAUGGUGUGUAAGCGGUGCGAGCCGUUGAGCUAACAUGUACUAAUUGCCCGAGAGGCUUAACUAU